rnacentral:tRNA from 1 species
GGAGGGGCCAUGGUUCAAUGGUAGAGCAUCUGUUUUGGCAUGCAGGAAGUUCCAGGUUCAAUUUCUGGUACUUCCU